UACGUAGGGUGCGAGCGUUAAUCGGAAUUACUGGGCGUAAAGCGUGCGCAGGCGGUUUUGCAAGCCGGAUGUGAAAUCCCCGGGCUUAACCUGGGAAUGGCAUUUGGGACUGCAAGGCUGGAGUGCGGCAGAGGAGACUGGAAUUCCUGGUGUAGCAGUGAAAUGCGUAGAUAUCAGAAGGAACACCGAUGGCGAAGGCAGGUCUCUGGGCUGACACUGACGCUCAUGCACGAAAGCGUGGGGAGCAAACAGG
rnacentral:rRNA from 1 species